rnacentral:rRNA from 1 species
UAACGCGUGAGGAACCUGCCUUCCAGAGGGGGACAACAGUUGGAAACGACUGCUAAUACCGCAUGAUGCGUUGGAGCCGCAUGACUCCGACGUCAAAAGAUUUAUCGCUGGAAGAUGGCCUCGCGUCUGAUUAGCUGGUUGGUGAGGUAACGGCCCACCAAGGCGACGAUCAGUAGCCGGACUGAGAGGUUGGCCGGCCACAUUGGGACUGAGAUACGGCCCAGACUCCUACGGGAGGCAGCAG